GACGAACGCUGGCGGCGUGCCUAAUACAUGCAAGUGGGACGCAAGGAAACACACUGUGCUUGCACACCGUGUUUUCUUGAGUCGCGAACGGGUGAGUAACGCGUAGGUAACCUGCCUAUUAGCGGGGGAUAACUAUUGGAAACGAUAGCUAAUACCGCAUAAUAUUAAUUAUUGCAUGAUAAUUGAUUGAAAGAUGCAAGCGCAUCACUAGUAGAUGGACCUGCGUUGUAUUAGCUAGUUGGUAAGGUAAGAGCUUACCAAGGCGACGAUACAUAGCCGACCUGAGAGGGUGAUCGGCCACACUGGGACUGAGACACGGCCCAGACUCCUACGGGAGGCAGCAGUAGGGAAUCUUCGGCAAUGGACGAAAGUCUGACCGAGCAACGCCGCGUGAGUGAAGAAGGUUUUCGGAUCGUAAAGCUCUGUUGUAAGUCAAGAACGUGUGUGAGAGUGGAAAGUUCACACAGUGACGGAGCUACC
rnacentral:rRNA from 1 species